CCUACGGGCGGCUGCAGUGGGGAAUAUUGCACAAUGGGGGAAACCCUGAUGCAGCGACGCCGCGUGAGUGAAGAAGUAAUUCGUUAUGUAAAGCUCUAUCAGCAGGGAAGAAAAUGACGGUACCUGAGUAAGAAGCCCCGGCUAACUACGUGCCAGCAGCCGCGGUCAUACGUAGGGUGCGAGCGUUAUCCGGAUUUACUGGUGGUAAAGGGAGCGUAGACGGAAGUGCAAGUCUGGAGUGAAAGGCGGGGGCUAAACCCCCGGACUGCUCUGGAAACUGUACGGCUGGAGUGCAGGAGGGGGAAGUGGAAUUCCUGGUGUAGCGGGGAAAUGCGUAGAUAUUAGGGGGAACACCAGUGGCGAAGGCGGCUUACUGGACUGUAACUGACGUGGAGGCUCGAAAGCGUGGGGAGCAAACAGGAUUAGAUACCCGGUAGUC
rnacentral:rRNA from 1 species